rnacentral:rRNA from 1 species
UACGUAGGGGGCUAGCGUUGUCCGGAAUCAUUGGGCGUAAAGAGCGUGUAGGCGGCCCGGUAAGUCCGCUGUGAAAGUCGGGGGCUCAACCCUCGAAUGCCGGUGGAUACUGUCGGGCUAGAGUGCGGAAGAGGCGAGUGGAAUUCCUGGUGUAGCGGUGAAAUGACGCAGAUAUCAGGAAGAACACCCGUGGCGAAGGCGGCUCUCUGGGACGGUACUGGACGCUGAAGACGCGAAAGCGUGGGGAGCAAACAGG